rnacentral:rRNA from 2 species
GUUGGGUAGGGGAGCGUUCUGUAAGCCUGUGAAGGUGGCCUGUGAGGGUUGCUGGAGGUAUCAGAAGUGCGAAUGCUGACAUAAGUAACGAUAAAGCGGGUGAAAAGCCCGCUCGCCGGAAGACCAAGGGUUCCUGUCCAACGUUAAUCGGGGCAGGGUGAGUCGACCCCUAAGGCGAGGCCGAAAGGCGUAGUCGAUGGGAAACGGGUUAAUAUUCCCGUACUUGGUGUUACUGCGAAGGGGGGACGGAGAAGGCUAUGUUGGCCGGGCGACGGUUGUCCCGGUUUAAGCGUGUAGGUGUGUGUUCCAGGUAAAUCCGGUUCACUUUAACACUGAGGCGUGACGACGAGGCACUACGGUGCUGAAGCAACAAAUGCCCUGCUUCCAGGAAAAGCCUCUAAGCAUCAGGUAACAUCAAAUCGUACCCCAAACCGACACAGGUGGUCAGGUAGAGAAUACCAAGGCGCUUGAGAGAACUCGGGUGAAGGAACUAGGCAAAAUGGUGCCGUAACUUCGGGAGAAGGCACGCUGACACGUAGGUGAAGUGAUUUACUCAUGGAGCUGAAGUCAGUCGAAGAUACCAGCUGGCUGCAACUGUUUAUUAAAAACACAGCACUGUGCAAACACGAAAGUGGACGUAUACGGUGUGACGCCUGCCCGGUGCCGGAAGGUUAAUUGAUGGGGUCAGCGCAAGCGAAGCUCCUGAUCGAAGCCCCGGUAAACGGCGGCCGUAACUAUAACGGUCCUAAGGUAGCGAAAUUCCUUGUCGGGUAAGUUCCGACCUGCACGAAUGGCGUAAUGAUGGCCAGGCUGUCUCCACCCGAGACUCAGUGAAAUUGAACUCGCUGUGAAGAUGCAGUGUACCCGCGGCAAGACGGAAAGACCCCGUGAACCUUUACUAUAGCUUGACACUGAACAUUGAGCCUUGAUGUGUAGGAUAGGUGGGAGGCUUUGAAGUGUGGACGCCAGUCUGCAUGGAGCCGACCUUGAAAUACCACCCUUUAAUGUUUGAUGUUCUAACGUGGACCCGUUACCCGGGUUGCGGACAGUGUCUGGUGGGUAGUUUGACUGGGGCGGUCUCCUCCUAAAGAGUAACGGAGGAGCACGAAGGUUGGCUAAUCCUGGUCGGACAUCAGGAGGUUAGUGCAAUGGCAUAAGCCAGCUUGACUGCGAGCGUGACGGCGCGAGCAGGUGCGAAAGCAGGUCAUAGUGAUCCGGUGGUUCUGAAUGGAAGGGCCAUCGCUCAACGGAUAAAAGGUACUCCGGGGAUAACAGGCUGAUACCGCCCAAGAGUUCAUAUCGACGGCGGUGUUUGGCACCUCGAUGUCGGCUCAUCACAUCCUGGGGCUGAAGUAGGUCCCAAGGGUAUGGCUGUUCGCCAUUUAAAGUGGUACGCGAGCUGGGUUUAGAACGUCGUGAGACAGUUCGGUCCCUAUCUGCCGUGGGCGCUGGAGAACUGAGGGGGGCUGCUCCUAGUACGAGAGGACCGGAGUGGACGCAUCACUGGUGUUCGGGUUGUCAUGCCAAUGGCACUGCCCGGUAGCUAAAUGCGGAAGAGAUAAGUGCUGAAAGCAUCUAAGCACGAAACUUGCCCCGAGAUGAGUUCUCCCUGAGACUUUAGGUCUCCUGAAGGAACGUUGAAGACGACGACGUUGAUAGGCCGGGUGUGUAAGCGCAGCGAUGCGUUGAGCUAACCGGUACUAAUGAACCGUGAGGCUUAACCUUACAACGCCGAAG